AACAGUUUUCUUACAGCGUCUAGCUACCAAAAUGGAAAAAGUGUGUGUGUGCUCGUAUUCCUGAUCUUUCAACCUAAUACUGGAUCUGCUUUCAUCUUCUAGCAUGAAUGCACAGGAACAAAAUGAAAUGUUUAACAAAAAGGAGCCUCAGUUAUGGACCAGAACCCCACUGCGCUAGAUGCUGUACAAACAGAACAAAAAGAUGGACCCUGGCCCAAAGAGUUUACAAUCUGUGUCCUCUGCCCUAAAGAGAUUGCACUACCACAGAAGGGGAGAGACUUUGCAGUGACCUGGCCAGAAGGCCAAGUCAUAGGAAGAAGCAGGCCACUGCAGAGACUAAGCAACCACCAGCAGCGGACCCUCAACAAAGAGAGUUGCUACAGCACACCCUUAAUUAAUUGGCCUCUCAGAGUUGGUAAGACAACUCCCACCUGUUUAUGCUCUCUCUGUAUGUGUGUAUAUAUAUCUCCUCAUUAUAUGUUCCAUUCUAUAUGCAUCCGAAGAAGUGGGCUGUAGUCCACGAAAGCUUAUGCUCUAAUAAAUUUGUUAGUCUCUAAGGUG